GUCCACGCCCUAAACGAUGUCAACUAGGUGUUGGGGAAGGAGACUUCUUUAGUACCGCAGCUAACGCGUGAAGUUGACCGCCUGGGGAGUACGGCCGCAAGGUUAAAACUCAAAGGAAUUGACGGGGACCCGCACAAGCGGUGGAUGAUGUGGAUUAAUUCGAUGCAACGCGAAAAACCUUACCUACCCUUGACAUGUCAGGAACCCUGCUGAGAGGUGGGGGUGCUCGAAAGAGAGCCUGAACACAGGUGCUGCAUGGCUGUCGU
rnacentral:rRNA from 1 species